UACAGAGGUCUCAAGCGUUGUUCGGAUUCAUUGGGCGUAAAGGGUGCGUAGGCGGCGCGGUAAGUCGGGUGUGAAAUCUUGGAGCUUAACUCCGAAACUGCAUUCGAUACUGCCGUGCUUGAGGACUGGAGAGGAGACUGGAAUUUACGGUGUAGCGGUGAAAUGCGUAGAUAUCGUAAGGAAGACCAGUGGCGAAGGCGGGUCUCUGGGCCAUAACUGACGCUGAGAAGCGAAAGCAUGGGGAGCGAACAGG
rnacentral:rRNA from 1 species